CNGGGUUGAGUGGCGGACGGGUGAGUAACGCGUGAGAAUCUGCCUUGGGGUCGGGGACAACCACUGGAAACGGUGGCUAAUACCGGAUAAGCCUUUGGGUAAAAGAUUUAUUGCCCCAAGAGGAGCUCGCGUCUGAUUAGCUAGUUGGUGAGGUAAGAGCUCACCAAGGCAGCGAUCAGUAGCUGGUCUGAGAGGACGAUCAGCCACACUGGGACUGAGACACGGCCCAGACUCCUACGGGAGGCAGCAGUGGGGAAUUUUCCGCAAUGGGCGAAAGCCUGACGGAGCAAGACCGCGUGAGGGAGGAAGGCUCUUGGGUUGUAAACCUCUUUUCUCAGGGAAGAAGCUCUGACGGUACCUGAGGAAUCAGCCUCGGCUAACUCCGUGCCAGCAGCCGCGGUAAUACGGAGGAGGCAAGCGUUAUCCGGAAUUAUUGGGCGUAAGGCGUCCGCAGGUGGCGAUUCAAGUCUGCUGUCAGAGCACGGGGCUUAACUCCGUUAAGGCAGUGGAAACUGAAUAGCUAGAGUGCCGUAGGGGUAGAGGGAAUUCCCGGUGUAGCGGUGAAAUGCGUAGAGAUCGGGAAGAACAUCGGUGGCGAAAGCGCUCUACUGGACGGCAACUGACACUCAGGGACGAAAGCUAGGGGAGCGAAUGGGAUUAGAUACCCCAGUAGUCCUAGCUGUAAACGAUGGAUACUACGUGUAGCUUGUAUCGACCCGAGCUGUGCCGAAGCUAACGCGUUAAGUAUCCCG
rnacentral:rRNA from 1 species